AGAAUUUAUGAAGUUUAGUAAUAAAUAUAUAUUUAACGUAAUUUAUUUUUAUACGUUCUAAAUAUUUCAACGAUUUAUGAAAUCAAAAAAAUAAUUUUAGAAUUUUAUGUUGAAAAGAAUUUGAAUUGCGAAAACACGUUCGAUUGAAUUUGGAAAACAAUAUUAACUGGUUUUGGAUUCAAACAAACUCAAUUCUAAUCCUAGCCCAAAUUGACAAAGCCCAAAACAAGAAAACCCAUAUUAUCAACCCAUAAUUCAACUUCACGUAAAAUCAAGAAAGCCAAAAACCCUCUUCUCUCCUCUCCUCCAAUUCACGUGAAAAGCAAGCAAACUCUCUCUCUGCUUCAGCCACCGCCGCCCUCCUUGCUGUUGUCCCUCACGCCGCCGGCCAACCACCUCAGACGCUCCUCCUCCGUCGCGUGCAACCUUCCUCGCCGCCACCUGCACCCCGUCGCUGCCGCCAACCAACCAGCACCGGUCGUUGGCCCCUUCCCUUCUCCUUCGCGAAGCAUCAACACUCCUCCUUUUCUUUCUCCUCUGCGUGCGUUUCCUCCUGCUUGCACCACCAGCCACCUUCGGUCACCCUGCUGCGCCACCACCCAUCGCCGCGCUGCCACUGUGGCAUCGCCGUGCUGCUGCACCAACCGCCGUCAGCUCUUCCUCCCUUCACUUUUUGGCGGAGAAUUCUCUUUAGGCGACUUUUGAAAGUGUUAAAGUGGCCUAUUAGUUGUUUAUGCAAGUCUCUAAGGAUCAAUAAGCGUUGCCCAUCUACAGGUUUGAAGAUGAUGCACCAUUGGGAUCGGGAUUAGAGAGCUUGUUGUUCUAUUUGUUUACUUGAGUGAUUUAAUUUGUUAACUUGGAUUUGAAAUUUGUCGUACUAUUCGUAUUUCCUUAUUUCAGUUAAUUGGUUUGGACCUAAUAUGUAAUAGAUUAUUUAUGAACCUAAAAGUUAGUUUUAUGUUUUCCGCUGCAAAAUUCUGAAUAAGCCGUUACGUUUUUACA